UACGUAGGAAGCGAGCGUUAUCCGGAUUUAUUGGGCGUAAAGAGGGCGCAGGCGGUUAGGUAAGUCGGUUGUAAAAUCUCCUGGCUUAACUAGGAGGGACCAUCCGAUACUGCCUGACUUGAGUGCAGCAGGAGAAAGCGGAAUUCCCGGUGUAGUGGUGAAAUGCGUAGAUAUCGGGAGGAACACCAGUGGCGAUGGCGGCUUUCUAGGCUGUAACUGACGCUGAGGCCUGAAAGCGUGGGGAG
rnacentral:rRNA from 1 species